rnacentral:rRNA from 1 species
AGGACGAACGCUGGCGGCGUGCUUAACACAUGCAAGUCGAACGGUGAAGCCCUUCGGGGUGGAUCAGUGGCGAACGGGUGAGUAACACGUGAGCAACCUGCCCCCCACUCUGGGAUAACUCCGGGAAACCGGUGCUAAUACCGGAUACGAGCCUCGGCCUCAUGGUCUGUGGUUGGAAAGAAUUUUGGUGGGGGAUGGGCUCGCGGCCUAUCAGCUUGUUGGUGAGGUAAUGGCUCACCAAGGCGACGACGGGUAGCCGGCCUGAGAGGGCGACCGGCCACACUGGGACUGAGACACGGCCCAGACUCCUACGGGAGGCAGCAGUGGGGAAUAUUGCACAAUGGGCGAAAGCCUGAUGCAGCGACGCCGCGUGAGGGAUGACGGCCUUCGGGUUGUAAACCUCUUUCAGCUCCGAAGAAGCGAGAGUGACGGUAGGAGCAGAAGAAGCACCGGCUAACACGUGCCAGCAGCCGC